rnacentral:miRNA from 1 species
UUAUUGUCUUUAUUUUCUGAGUCGUGCCUCUAUGGCCCCCUCCUCUCUAAAAGCAAGGCCACUUGAGUCGUGCCUUUCUGAAUGAAGUCAAUGU